rnacentral:misc_RNA from 1 species
GAUGAAGAACGUAGCGAAAUGCGAUAAGUAAUGUGAAUUGCAGAAUUCAGUGAAUCAUCGAAUCUUUGAACGCACCUUGCGCCCUUUGGCUAUUCCGAAGGGCAUGCCUGUUUGAGUAUCAUGAACACCUCAACUCUCAUGGUUUGCCAUGAUGAGCUUGGACUUUGGGGGUCUUGCCGGCCUAUGGGCCGGCUCCUCUCAAAUUAAUCAGCUUGCCAGUGUUUGGUGGCAUCACAGGUGUGAUAACUAUCUACGCUUGUGGUUUUCCAUCAGGUAACCUUCAGUGAUGGAGGUUCGCUGGGGCUCAUAAAUGUCUCUCCUCAGUGAGGACAGCUUUUUUGAACGUUUGAUCUCAAAUCAGGUAGGACUACCCGCUGAACUUAAGCAUAUCAAUAAGCGGAGGA